UGUUUCGGCUAGGGGGCCAUCCCGGCUUACCAACCCGAUGCAAACUGCGAAUACCGGAGAAUGUUAUCACGGGAGACACACGGCGGGUGCUAACGUCCGUCGUGAAGAGGGAAACAACCCAGACCGCCAGCUAAGGUCCCAAAGUCAUGGUUAAGUGGGAAACGAUGUGGGAAGGCCCAGACAGCCAGGAUGUUGGCUUAGAAGCAGCCAUCAUUUAAAGAAAGCGUAAUAGCUCACUGGUCGAGUCGGCCUGCGCGGAAGAUGUAACGGGGCUAAACCAUGCACCGAAGCUGCGGCAGCGACGCUGAUGCGUUGUUGGGUAGGGGAGCGUUCUGUAAGCCUGUGAAGGUGUGCUGUGAGGCAUGCUGGAGGUAUCAGAAGUGCGAAUGCUGACAUAAGUAACGAUAAAGCGGGUGAAAAGCCCGCUCGCCGGAAGACCAAGGGUUCCUGUCCAACGUUAAUCGGGGCAGGGUGAGUCGACCCCUAAGGCGAGGCCGAAAGGCGUAGUCGAUGGGAAACAGGUUAAUAUUCCUGUACUUGGUGUUACUGCGAAGGGGGGACGGAGAAGGCUAUGUUGGCCGGGCGACGGUUGUCCCGGUUUAAGCGUGUAGGCUGGUUUUCCAGGCAAAUCCGGAAAAU
rnacentral:rRNA from 1 species